CUACGACCAAGCAGGCCGGUGCAAUUUGUAAGCGCAUAUGCUUGGGAUGGAAAGGGACACCAGAGCAGACAAAAGGAAUCCAUGUGAUUACUAGGAGAAACUUGCUGGAGGUAUCAACAGCUUGUCAUUUGAAGACUGCAAGAAUUAAGGAGAUACCACCUGGACACAGUUUUCCCAUCAGUUCCGUUCUGUGUGCCAGCAACUGUGAAAUUUUACUCUUGCAGCUUGCCAGUCUAACCCACUACCUCUCAUGUGUUGCGGCUCAGGAAGGGAAGUAGAA